GAUUCCCUGCAGUACGCGUGAUGGCAUGGAGGCUCGUUUGAGCCAUUGUUGUAUCGAAGUGAACCGCGACGCUUCGCUGUGUGCACGCCUCGGCCCGAGGAAGCCUAGAGGCGGGGUUUGACAUAGCGGUUCCACCUGCACGCGCAGGUUCAUACGACCUCCCCACACGGUAAUCGCGGGGGUCCU
rnacentral:other from 1 species